rnacentral:tRNA from 1 species
GCACCUUUAGCUCAGUGGUAGAGCGGAUCUUUUACAUAGAUCGGGUCGUAUGUUCGAAUCAUACAGGGUGUACAA